AAACCAGCACCUCAAGUGGUCAGGAUGAUUAUUGGGCCUAAAGCAUCCGUAGCCGGCUCUGUAAGUUUUCGGUUAAAUCUGUACGCUUAACGUACAGGCUGCCGGGAAUACUGCAGAGCUAGGGAGUGAGAGAGGUAGACGGUACUCGGUAGGAAGGGGUAAAAUCCUUUGAUCUAUUGAUGACCACCUGUGGCGAAGGCGGUCUACCAGAACACGUUCGACGGUGAGGGAUGAAAGCUGGGGGAGCAAACCGAAUUAGAAACCCGAGUAGUCC
rnacentral:rRNA from 1 species